rnacentral:sRNA from 1 species
UCUGAUGACUGUAUGUGGCUAAUUUUGCCUUCCUUUGUCUUUGGUCCCUGGCUGUAUUUGUGCAAUGUCUUUGAUAUGCUACUUGGUGCUAUUUGUAAAGAAGCAUUUACAAUAGUAUAUGAUGUCUGAACUCUCCUGCAUAGGUUAAAGAACUCCGAGAAAAGGCUGAGUUUUAUAGGAAGCGAGUUCAGGGGACGCAUUUUUCUCGGGACCAUCUGAAUCAGAUUUUAUCUGAUAGCAACUGCUGUUGGGAUGUCUCCUCAACCACAAGCUCAGAAGGAACCAUUAGUAGCAACAUCAGAGCAUUAGAUCUUGCUGGAACCAGAAGAAAAAGGAAAUAUCGUGGAAGAACAGCCCCAGAAAAAUACCACGGAGAAAUUGGGUGUGUCAGCUCCCACCAUACCUGUUAGAAGGCGGCUGGCUUGGGAUACAGAGAACACAAGUGAAGACGUACAGAAACAGCCCAGGGAGAAAGAGGAGGAGGACGACGAUGAAGAGGAAGGGGACAGGAAAACGGGCAAGCAGGCUGUUAGGGGAGAGCAAGAGAAGUUGGAUGUACAUGAGAAAUCUAAGGCAGAUAAGAUGAAAGAAGGGUCAGAUUCUUCUGUAUCCUCAGAAAAAGGAGGCCGGCUUCCUACUCCCAAGCUGAGAGAACUCGGUGGAAUCCAGAGGACUCAUCAUGAUCUCACUACUCCAGCUGUUGGUGGUGCUGUUUUAGUGUCUCCAUCUAAGAUGAAGCCUCCAGCCCCAGAACAGAGGAAAAGAAUGACCUCUCAGGAUUGUUUAGAAACAUCAAAGAAUGAUUUUACUAAGAAAGAAAGUCAUGCUGUAUCCCUACUGACUUCUCCAGCUGCUGGUAUAAAAACAGUUGAUCCUCUGCCUU